GAUGAACGCUAGCGGCAGGCUUAAUACAUGCAAGUCGAGGGGUAGCAAGAUUGUAGCAAUACAAUUGUUGACGACCGGCAAACGGGUGCGGAACACGUACACAACCUUCCUACAAGUGGGGAAUAGCCCAGAGAAAUUUGGAUUAAUACCCCGUAACAUAGCGAUGUGGCAUCACAUUGCUAUUAUAGCUUCGGCGCUUGUUGAUGGGUGUGCGGCUGAUUAGGUAGUUGGCGGGGUAACGGCCCACCAAGUCUACGAUCUGUAGCUGAUGUGAGAGCAUGAUCAGCCACACGGGCACUGAGACACGGGCCCGACUCCUACGGGAGGCAGCAGUAAGGAAUAUUGGACAAUGGACGCAAGUCUGAUCCAGCCAUGCCGCGUGAAGGAUUAAGGUCCUCUGGAUUGUAAACUUCUUUUAUAAGGGACGAAAAAAGGUCUUUCUAGAUCGUCUGACGGUACCUUAUGAAUAAGCACCGGCUAACUCCGUGCCAGCCGCCGCCGUAACAC
rnacentral:rRNA from 1 species